rnacentral:rRNA from 1 species
CCUACGGGAGGCAGCAGUGGGGAAUUUUGGACAAUGGGCGAAAGCCUGAUCCAGCCAUGCCGCGUGCAGGAUGAAGGCCUUCGGGUUGUAAACUGCUUUUGUACGGAACGAAAAGCCUCUUUCUAAUAAAGAGGGGUCAUGACGGUACCGUAAGAAUAAGCACCGGCUAACUACGUGCCAGCAGCCGCGGUAAUACGUAGGGUGCGAGCGUUAAUCGGAAUUACUGGGCGUAAAGCGUGCGCAGGCGGUUAUAUAAGACAGUUGUGAAAUCCCCGGGCUCAACCUGGGAACUGCAUCUGUGACUGUAUAGCUAGAGUACGGUAGAGGGGGAUGGAAUUCCGCGUGUAGCAGUGAAAUGCGUAGAUAUGCGGAGGAACACCGAUGGCGAAGGCAAUCCCCUGGACCUGUACUGACGCUCAUGCACGAAAGCGUGGGGAGCAAACAGGAUUAGAUACCCUGGUAGUCCACGCCCUAAACGAUGUCAACUGGUUGUUGGGAAUUCACUUUCUCAGUAACGAAGCUAACGCGUGAAGUUGACCGCCUGGGGGUACGCCGCAAGGUUGAACUUAAAGGAAUUGACGGCUGAGAGNGCGAGACGACGACGAGGGAGAGG